GGCCUUGUAGUGAAAUUCAUAGUGAGUUGCAAGCUCAUUGAUGUGCAUUGAUCUGCACCGAGGUCU
rnacentral:tRNA from 1 species